GAGUUUGAUCGUGGCUCAGGAUGAACGCUGGCGGCAUGCCUAAGACAUGCAAGUCGAACGAGAUGGCCCAGUGAAAGUUGCGUGCUUGCACAAGACUGGAUCUGGAUCACCAUCUAGUGGCAGACGGGUGAGUAACACGUGGGUGACCUACCUUUUCGUUGGGGAUAACAGUUGGAAACGAUUGCUAAUACCGAAUAAAAUAUAAGAGUCAAUUUUAUAUUGAAAGGAGCCUUUAAAGCUUCGCGAUUAGAUGGGCCUGC
rnacentral:rRNA from 1 species